CUGGGCUUCUAUGGUAAGCGGUCUCCUUUUGGACUCCUACAGGAACCGGACUCCAUCCGAACUUCUGCAGCGGUUGGAUUCCGGGCGAACUUCUACAACGGACGUGCUCCAGCAGUCAGAUUUCUAUAGUGACCGACUGUCUCUGGUGUCUUCCAUACCUCUCCGGCCAUCAACCUUCGACAGCGCUAGCCAACCUUCCACAGAUCCAUCUGAUCUCCUUUAGCGGAUGAACUUCCACAAUGCCUUUCAAAUUACGCUAUCAGCCGACCUUCCACAGAUCCAUUCGAGCCUCUACUGUAAACG
rnacentral:lncRNA from 1 species